CCGACGCAUGGUGCAUGGUGGCAGAGGAGGAGUCCCGGUACGUCCCGCUGUUCAUUGCGGCGUUGCUGGCUCCAUAAUUUAGCAGCUGAUAGUCGGGACCAUUUGGGUAGCGCCCUGAGAACGAGUUUACAAAGCUGCGGCUUGUCCCCAUGGCCAAACUACAGACAGUCCGACUGAUAAAUCGACACAAAGACUCUAUUUUUGCUUAUACUUUACCCUCCCAUCAAUGCAUUCCCAAAAAACGUCUUCUCUCAUUGAAGACGCUGUUGAGAGAAGGUUGGGAAGCUGAGUAACUUUCAAGCCGAAUUCUCGUGAUCCGUGCUGGACAGCCUGAAUUUGGAAUUUGCAACCUUUCUUUUUAACCUACUUUUUGCUUUUUGACCCACAUCUCCCCUCUCCUGGCCUCUCUCGGCCGUCCUCCCUCUCUCGCCGGCAGGACGCUCUGUUUCCUCCCCGCUUUGUGGGAACGGGAAGCAACCAAAUUGUUUUGGAGUUGACUGGGGUUUAAUCAUUGAUGAGCAGCAACUCUCAGAAAAGGAAAGGAAUGGCCUGCAGCCGAGGACAGACACAGGACGGUAACACUUUAUUACGUGUGCAGGUUUGGUGGAGAGCCAGGAGGCAAAAAGCACCAACCGGCAGAAAAAUCAAGUGUUCUGCAAGAAGUUUGAGUUUGGCGCAAAUAGAGCGUGUGUUUACAGCAGAUACAACAGACGGGAGCAUAUUCUGUACAACUGUUUAAAAACGUUGAUUUGGUCUUGUUCAUUUCGGAUCUGCUGUAUUGUCCCUUAGAUCGACACACAACCGUUUAACUCUAAGUCCUGCAGCGCGCCCUUUGCAAAUAAAUAAAUACAUAAAUAAUAGAAUAAGGCUGCCUAUUAAUGUUAAUCGCUGCUUUUUUACGGUGCUGUAUACUUUAUUAUUAUUAUUAGUGUUAUUAUUAUUAUUGUUAUUAUUAUUAUUGUUAUUAUUGUUGCUGUUGUUAAUAAUUAUAAUGAUACAAAUAAUAAUAGGAAGAAGAUAAUUUUAAUUGUUGUGUUUUGCUAACGGAGUUUUCUUUAACGUGUGAUGCCCAUCCUCUUAAAGCGCAUCCUGAGAAAUGUUAAGCUAUGUUUUAGAACAGGUCUGUUCUCCGAGGUUUAGACUGAAACGUCUGUAAUAUUCUGAGAAUAAAUGAUCGGGCAUUUUUACUGUCUUGUUAAUGUAUUAGUUGCUUUAACAUUGUUUUUCAUGCGUGAUAUUUUUCACAUGCUGUAUAAUUCUUAUGUUUUUACUUUUAGAAAUGUAUCAACGUGUUAAAUGGGGGCUAUGUGCAUGUACAAAUUUUGGAGGUUGUCAGCGUGGGAAGCCUUCUAUGUAUAGCCUCAGCAAUGAAGCUGCUGCACUUUAUGGAUCCACAGUUAGAGACAGACUGCGCUGGACUCCCACGACUUCUAAAGAUCAUAAUAAGCCCAAACGUUUAAACUUUUUCAUAACGGAUAUACUUGUUAAGCUGGCUGUAUUUCUGCGCAGUAAAUCAGACGUGUGCGUCUGUGAGUUAACUUUAGUGUAAACAUCUGAGGGCCGCUGAAGGAAGCCCAGGAAUGUGAGAAACUUCAGAAAUCAGCGGCAAUUAAAGCUAAAAGAGUCGGACCUCUA